AGUCAACUUGUCAAUAAUUAAUUGUCAUCCUUAUUCCUUAGGGACGGACGGGCCUUGGUUUGUUUUGUUUGUGUCUGUCUAGUAGUCUCGUGCUCGUAAUUCGUAAUCUGCAUCUGGAUGGUUAUGAUUAUCCUUUAGAUUCAGAUAAAGGGAUGAAGGCUCUGUCGUAGCUCGUAGUUGUGCAAAGUGUGUCUGCAUGGUGCCUUUUACUCUACAAGUGAACAACGUAGCCUUUUGUUGGAAAGAUGGUGGUACUGAAAUCACUUAUGUCUGUUGGCCUUCUAACUACGAGGUAUAGCAACACUCCAUUCAAAGGGAACGUGAAAAGUAGUGCUGGUGUGGUGAUGAUGUCACAGAUAAGGGCUCUAUCUCGCCAGGCUUUGUCAAAGUCUCUGGAGCUAGUGACAGUUGACUCUGUCAAGGUGACUCA